AUUGAACGCUGGCGGCAUGCCUAACACAUGCAAGUCGAACGAGUGGCGGACGGGUGAGUAGUUUCUGGGAAACUGCCUGAUGGAGGGGUAUAACUACUGUAAACGGUGGCUAAUACUGCAUACCAUCAGAUGUGCCCAGAUGGGAGUAGCUAGGUGGUGGGGUAACGGCUCACCAAGGCGACGAUCCCUAGCUGGUCUGAGAGGAUGACCAGCCACACUGGAACUGAGACACGGUCCAGACUCCUACGGGAGGCAGCAGUGGGGAAUAUUGCACAAUGGGCGAAAGCCUGAUGGAGCAACGCCGCGUGUAUGAAGAAGGCCUUCGGGUCGUAAAGUACUUUUAGCGGGGAGGCGGUACCUGCAGAAGAAGCACCGGCUAACUCCGUGCCAGCAGCCGCGGUAAUUC
rnacentral:rRNA from 1 species